rnacentral:rRNA from 1 species
UACAGAGGUCCCAAGCGUUGUUCGGAUUCACUGGGCGUAAAGGGUGCGUAGGUGGCCUGGUAAGUCUGAUGUGAAAGCUCGGAGCUUAACUCCGAAAUGGCAUUGAAUACUACUGGGCUUGAGUGUCGGAGGGGAGACUGGAAUUCUCGGUGUAGCAGUGAAAUGCGUAGAUAUCGAGAGGAACACCAGUGGCGAAGGCGAGUCUCUGGACGACCCCUGACACUGAGGCACGAAAGCUAGGGGAGCAAACAGG